UACAGAGGGGGCAAGCGUUGUCCGGAAUUACUGGGCGUAAAGCGCACGUAGGCGGCUUUGUAAGUUAGAGGUGAAAGCCCGGGGCUCAACUCCGGAAUUGCCUUUAAGACUGCAUCGCUAGAAUUGUGGAGAGGUAAGUGGAAUUCCGAGUGUAGAGGUGAAAUUCGUAGAUAUUCGGAAGAACACCAGUGGCGAAGGCGACUUACUGGACACAUAUUGACGCUGAGGUGCGAAAGCGUGGGGAGCAAACAGG
rnacentral:rRNA from 1 species